CCUACGGGGUGCUGCAGUGGGGAAUAUUGGACAAUGGGCGAAAGCCUGAUCCAGCCAUGCCGCGUGUGUGAAGAAGGCCUUCGGGUUGUAAAGCACUUUCAGUGGGGAAGAAAGCCUUGGGGCUAAUACCCUCGAGGAAGGACAUCACCCACAGAAGAAGCACCGGCUAACUCCGUGCCAGCAGCCGCGGUAAUACGGAGGGUGCGAGCGUUAAUCGGAAUUACUGGGCGUAAAGCGCGCGUAGGCGGUCUGAUAAGCCGGUUGUGAAAGCCCCGGGCUCAACCUGGGAAGGGCAUCCGGAACUGUCAGGCUAGAGUGCAGGAGAGGAAGGUAGAAUUCCCGGUGUAGCGGUGAAAUGCGUAGAGAUCGGGAGGAAUACCAGUGGCGAAGGCGGCCUUCUGGACUGACACUGACGCUGAGGUGCGAAAGCGUGGGUAGCAAACAGGAUUAGAUACCCGGGUAGUC
rnacentral:rRNA from 1 species